rnacentral:rRNA from 1 species
GGUUGGGGGGAGCUAUACAUGCAGUAGAACGCUGAAGAGAGGAGCUUGCUCUUCUUGGAUGAGUUGCGAACGGGUGAGUAACGCGUAGGUAACCUGCCUUGUAGCGGGGGAUAACUAUUGGAAACGAUAGCUAAUACCGCAUAACAAUGGAUGACACAUGUCAUUUAUUUGAAAGGGGCAAUUGCUCCACUACAAGAUGGACCUGCGUUGUAUUAGCUAGUAGGUGAGGUAAUGGCUCACCUAGGCGACGAUACAUAGCCGACCUGAGAGGGUGAUCGGCCACACUGGGACUGAGACACGGCCCAGACUCCUACGGGAGGCAGCAGUAGGGAAUCUUCGGCAAUGGGGGCAACCCUGACCGAGCAACGCCGCGUGAGUGAAGAAGGUUUUCGGAUCGUAAAGCUCUGUUGUAAGUCAAGAACGGGUGUGAGAGUGGAAAGUUCACACUGUGACGGUAGCUUACCAGAAAGGGACGGCUAACUACGUGCCAGCAGCCGCGGUAAUACGUAGGUCCCGAGCGUUGUCCGGAUUUAUUGGGCGUAAAGCGAGCGCAGGCGGUUUGAUAAGUCUGAAGUUAAAGGCUGUGGCUCAACCAUAGUUCGCUUUGGAAACUGUCAAACUUGAGUGCAGAAGGGGAGAGUGGAAUUCCAUGUGUAGCGGUGAAAUGCGUAGAUAUAUGGAGGAACACCGGUGGCGAAAGCGGCUCUCUGGUCUGUAACUGACGCUGAGGCUCGAAAGCGUGGGGAGCGAACAGGAUUAGAUACCCUGGUAGUCCACGCCGUAAACGAUGAGUGCUAGGUGUUGGAUCCUUUCCGGGAUUCAGUGCCGCAGCUAACGCAUUAAGCACUCCGCCUGGGGAGUACGACCGCAAGGUUGAAACUCAAAGGAAUUGACGGGGGCCCGCACAAGCGGUGGAGCAUGUGGUUUAAUUCGAAGCAACGCGAAGAACCUUACCAGGUCUUGACAUCCCGAUGCUAUUUCUAGAGAUAGAAAGUUACUUCGGUACAUCGGUGACAGGUGGUGCAUGGUUGUCGUCAGCUCGUGUCGUGAGAUGUUGGGUUAAGUCCCGCAACGAGCGCAACCCCUAUUGUUAGUUGCCAUCAUUCAGUUGGGCACUCUAGCGAGACUGCCGGUAAUAAACCGGAGGAAGGUGGGGAUGACGUCAAAUCAUCAUGCCCCUUAUGACCUGGGCUACACACGUGCUACAAUGGUUGGUACAACGAGUUGCGAGUCGGUGACGGCGAGCUAAUCUCUUAAAGCCAAUCUCAGUUCGGAUUGUAGGCUGCAACUCGCCUACAUGAAGUCGGAAUCGCUAGUAAUCGCGGAUCAGCACGCCGCGGUGAAUACGUUCCCGGGCCUUGUACACACCGCCCGUCACACCACGAGAGUUUGUAACACCCGAAGUCGGUGAGGUAACCUUUUGAGCCAGCCGCUAAGUGACCAAG